CUUCUUUACCUUCUAUUAUAUUCAUCUCUUCUUUAUCUUUGUUGUUGUCUUCCUCUUUGUCUUUUUGUUAUACUUGUCUUUCUUCUCCUCUAUCUAUUGUCUCCUACUAUUUUGACGUUGUAUCAUCACUUAAGGUGGGUCACCUCAUUCUCCCUAUGCUACUUAAGCUCCCUCUACCUAUCUCUUCAUCGGUGAUAUUGACUUCUUCGAAGAUUAUCUCAUCAUCUUCAC
rnacentral:lncRNA from 1 species